GGUUCCAUGGUGUAAUGGUUAGCACUCUGGACUCUGAAUCCAGCUGAGUUCAAGUCUCAGUGGAACCU
rnacentral:tRNA from 2 species